AGCGAUCAACCGACGAUGAGGGAGCUGAUCCGGCGCCUGAGCUUCUCAGACCGGGUGAGCGACGGCAGCGGCGGCGUGCCGCGCGGGUGCGUGCCGGUGCUGGUUGUGGGCGACGGCGACGAGAAGUGCGAGCGGUUCGUGGUGCCGGUGGAGGCUCUGCGGCACCCGUCGCUGGCAGCGCUGCUGGAGAUGGCGGCGCAGGAGUUCGGGUACAAGCAGGAGGGCAUCCUCCGCGUCCCCUGCGCCGUCAACAAGUUCAGGCAGGCGCUCACUACCGCCGCCGUCUCCAAGAACUACUGA
rnacentral:rRNA from 1 species